CCUGGUUGAUCCUGCCAGUAGUCAUAUGCUUGUCUCAAAGAUUAAGUCAUGCAUGUCUAAGUAUAAACUAAUAUUUAUAUGGUGAGACUGCAGAUGGCUCAUUAAAUCAGUUAUAGUUUAUUUGAUAGUCCUUUUUUUUUUAUUACUUGGAUAACUGUGGUAAUUCUAGAGCUAAUACAUGUGUAAGGUCCUGAUCUGCUGCCAUGUGGGUGUUCAUGCACUUGGUGUGGUUUUAGUGAAAAGAGAUAUAUUUAUUAGGUAAAAAAACCAGCACAGCACUUCUCUCUUGAGAGGGGUGUCUACAAAUGCAGUUUUUCUCUUCUUUUUUGGAGGGGAGAGCUGAUCUCUAGUGAUUUAUAGUAACUCUUUUGGAUUGUAAUUUACACAGCCACCUUGUUGCAAGGCAGGGUGGCAGCAACAAUUCAUUUAAAUUUUUGCCUUAUCAACUUUUGAUAGUAGGAUAGAGGCCUACUAUGGUCAUAACAGGUAAUAGAGAAUUAAGGUUCAAUUUUAGAGAAGGAGCCUAAGAAAUGGCUACCACUUCUAAGGAAGGCAGCAGGCAUGUAAAUUACCUAAUUCUGACAUGGGGAGGUAGUGAUAAUAAAUAACAAUACAGGUCUCAACAAAAGUCUUAUAAUUAAAAUGAAUACAAUUUAAACCCCUUAAUGAGUAACAAUUAGAGGGCAAGUCUAAUGCUAGCAGCCAUAGUAAUUCUAGCUCCAAUAAUGUAUAUUAAAGUUGUUAUAGUUAAAAAGCUUAUAGUUAGAUUUAGAGAUGACACUGUCUUUUGUGUGUUGCAUGUCUGUCACCUGGUCUCUCUCUUUUUUCUCUCAGGCAUGGCAGGGUCAUACCUGUUUUUUCCUGGGGGGAGUCAUGUGGCAUGUGUGCAUGUGAGGGUGCAUGCUUUCAGUGUGUAGGGCAACUUGCACAUGGCAUGAGAAGGGCUUAGUUUGCUUACUUGCCAUUGUGCCACCAAAAGGUGGGUUGUAGUGGUGUGGGGGUGUGCACUGGCCUGCUUGUUCCUUCCUUUUAGAUUUCCAUCCUCAGCUGGCUAUUAACUUAGCUCUGGGGGUGCCUUGGGUGUGCUGUUGCCCUUAACUGGACAGUGGUUUUGGCACUCAGGGCACUUGUGCUUUUGUGGCACAGGUGUUGAAGCCUAGAUUGUUUAUUAUAAAAAAAUUAGAGUGUCUAAAGCAGGCAGAUAUUUUAUUACUGUCACUGAAUACAUUAGCAUGGGAUAAUGGAAUAGGACCCUGUCUUUUAUGUUUCAUGUUAGUUGUGCACCAAAAAGGAGAAUGGCUGUGUGUGCACAUGUAAACAUGUAUCAUAGUUAUUUUUUUUUUUUAGUGCAUGGUUUCAUCUAAAGGAGGACCAGGGUAAUGAUUAAUAGAGAUAGUUGGGGGCAUUAAUAUUUAAUUGUCAGAGGUGAAAUUCUUGGAUUUAUGAAAGAUUAACUUCUGUAAAAGCAUCUGCCAAGGAUGUUUUCAUUAAUCAAGAACAAAAGUUAGGGGAUCAAAGAUGAUUAGAUACUGUUGUAGUCUUAACUAUAAACCAUGCUGACCAGUGAUUGGGAGACAUUUCACAUGGAGGUGGCCUUGGGGGGCAUUUUUGCUGUUCUGUCAUGCAAGUGGCAGGUGCAAUGUGUCCCUUUUUGAGGCUGCUUUCACUAAAGGAUGACUCUCCUAGCAGCUUGUGAGAAAUCAUCAAGUCUUUGGGUUCCAGGGGGAGUAUGGUUGCAAGGCUAAAACUUAAAGAAAUUGAUGGAAGGGCACCACUAAGAGUGGAGCCUGUAGCUUAAUUUGACUCAACAUGGAGAAACUUACCAGGUCCAGACAUAGUAAGGAUUGACAGAUUGAUAGCUCUUUCUUGAUUCUAUAGGUGGUGGUGCAUGGUUGUUCUUAGUUGGUGGAGUGAUUUGUCUGGUUAAUUCUAUUAAUGAACAAGACCUUAAUCUGCUAAAUAGCCAUGCUCAUCCUUGGCCAUCUAAAGCCUGCAUGUGUCUUUUUAUGGCCUGCACAUGGUUCUUUGUCCCUGUUUGCCCAGCAAUGGCAUGCAAGUAAAAUUGUUUGGCAGGAGGGCAGGGCCCAUGGCAUGUGUGCAUGUGCAGGUGGUCAGAUGGGUGUUCUGUGCUUCUUAGAGAGACUGUCUGCACUUAGCAGACAGAAGUUUGAGGCAAUAACAGGUCUGUGAUGCCCUUAGAUGUUCUAGGCUGCAUGUAUGCUACACUGAUUAAUUCAACAAGUUCCACUGUGCUUGUUAUUUUUUGGGUGGGGCAUCAUGCUUCAGUCACAAGGCUGAGGUGCAGCAUCUGCCUGGGGCAGCAGCGCUCAUUCCUGGGCUGAUAGGUCUGGGUAAUCUUUGUGAAAUUUAAUCAUGCUGGGGAUAGAUCAUUGUAAUUAUUGAUCUUCAACAAGGAAUUCCUAGUAAGUACAAGUCAUUAGCUUACAUUGAUUAUGUCCUUGCCCUUUGUACACACCACCCAUCACUCUUACUAAUUGAAUGGUCUGGUGAAAUCUCCAGAGCCUGGCCUCUCUGUCACCUAGGGGGCCCCUGUUUCCCUUUUGGCUUUUCUUUACAGAGGGGCCAUUUGGGAGCAUGGGGGUUUUUCUGUUGAGAGGCCUCUAUCAGGUGAAGCUAAUUGAACCUUACCAUUUAGAGGAAGGAGAAGUCAUAACAAGGUUUCCAUAGGUGAACUUGCAGAAG
rnacentral:rRNA from 1 species